UGAGUAAGACAGACAAUCGCGGAGGCAAAUGCCGAAAGGCUGCAGACGAGGAAAGUCCGGGCUUCAAAGGGCAGGAUGCCGGAUAACGUCCGGUGGAGGUGACUCCAAGGCCAGUGCAACAGAAAUAAACCGCCACAGUAAAGGUCACUUUUCUGUGGUAAGGGUGGAAAGGCAGUGUAAGAGACUACCGCCUCUCUGGUAACAGCGAGGGCAUAUGUAAACCCCAUCCGAAGCAAGACCGGAUAGAAACCAUGUGGCUGCCCGUCACGUUUCAGGUAGGUCGCUUGAGCAUUGCGGUAACGUGAUGCCUAGACAGAUGAUUGUCCAACGACAUAACCCGGCUUAUCGUUUUGCUCGGCAC
rfam:Ruminococcus lactaris ATCC 29176 Scfld_02_35 genomic scaffold, whole genome shotgun sequence.